AUUGAACGCUGGCGGCAUGCUUUACACAUGCAAGUCGAACGGUAACAGGCCUUCGGGCGCUGACGAGUGGCGAACGGGUGAGUAAUGCAUCGGAACGUGCCCAGUCGUGGGGGAUAACGCAGCGAAAGCUGUGCUAAUACCGCAUACGAUCUGCGGAUGAAAGCGGGGGACCUUCGGGCCUCGCGCGAUUGGAGCGGCCGAUGUCAGAUUAGGUAGUUGGUGGGGUAAAGGCCCACCAAGCCAACGAUCUGUAGCUGGUCUGAGAGGGCGACCAGCCACACUGGGACUGAGACACGGCCCAGACUCCUACGGGAGUCAGCAGUGGGGAAUUUUGGACAAUGGGCGCAAGCCUGAUCCAGCAAUGCCGCGUGCAGGAAGAAGGCCUUCGGGUUGUAAACUGCUUUUGUACGGAGCGAAAAGGCUCUCUCUAAUACAGGGGGCUCAUGACGGUACCGUAAGAAUAAGCACCGGCUAACUACGUGCCAGCCGCCGCUGUAAUAC
rnacentral:rRNA from 1 species